CUGAAGCCUGGUGCUUGCACCGGGUGGAUGAGUGGCGAACGGGUGAGUAACACGUGAGUAACCUGCCCCUGACUUCGGGAUAAGCCCGGGAAACUGGGUCUAAUACCGGAUACGACCGCCGGACGCAUGUCUGGUGGUGGAAAGUUUUUUCGGUUGGGGAUGGGCUCGCGGCCUAUCAGUUUGUUGGUGAGGUAAUGGCUCACCAAGACGACGACGGGUAGCCGGCCUGAGAGGGCGACCGGCCACACUGGGACUGAGACACGGCCCAGACUCCUACGGGAGGCAGCAGUGGGGAAUAUUGCACAAUGGGGGAAACCCUGAUGCAGCGACGCAGCGUGCGGGAUGACGGCCUUCGGGUUGUAAACCGCUUUCAGCAGGGAAGAAGCGCAAGUGACGGUACCUGCAGAAGAAGUACCGGCUAACUACGUGCCAGCAGCCGCGGUAAUACGUAGGGUACGAGCGUUGUCCGGAAUUAUUGGGCGUAAAGAGCUCGUAGGUGGUUGGUCACGUCUGCUGUGGAAACGCAACGCUUAACGUUGCGCGUGCAGUGGGUACGGGCUGACUAGAGUGCAGUAGGGGAGUCUGGAAUUCCUGGUGUAGCGGUGAAAUGCGCAGAUAUCAGGAGGAACACCGGUGGCGAAGGCGGGACUCUGGGCUGUAACUGACACUGAGGAGCGAAAGCAUGGGGAGCGAACAGGAUUAGAUACCCUGGUAGUCCAUGCCGUAAACGUUGGGCACUAGGUGUGGGGGGCAUUCCACGUUCUCCGCGCCGUAGCUAACGCAUUAAGUGCCCCGCCUGGGGAGUACGGUCGCAAGGCUAAGACUCAAAGGAAUUGACGGGGGCCCGC
rnacentral:rRNA from 1 species